CCUUCGAGUUCGGGACAACUGGCUGAAAAGCCAGCUAAUACCGGAUAAGACCUCGGCCUCUUCGGAGGCUGCGGCCAAAGACGGCCUCUUCUUGAAAGCCGUUGCUUGGAGAUGGGCCUGCGGACCAUUAGCUUGUUGGUGAGGUAACGGCUCACCAAGGCUAUGAUGGAUAGCUGGUCUGAGAGGAUGAUCAGCCACACUGGGACUGAGACACGGCCCAG
rnacentral:rRNA from 1 species